rnacentral:rRNA from 1 species
UGAAUACGAGACGCUAAGGCGUCGAAGUAGUGUAUAUCAGACUUCCAAGAAAAGCUUGCACUGUCAUAGAUAAAAAAUGCCUGUACCAUAACCGACACAGGUGGGUAGGUAGAGUAUACUAAGGGGCGCGAGAUAACUCUCUCUAAGGAACUCGGCAAAAUAACUCCGUAACUUCGGGAGAAGGAGUGCCUUAUUUAUAAGGUUGCAAUAACAAGAUCCAAGCAACUGUUUAUCAAAAACACAGGUCUCCGCUAAGUCGUAAGACGAUGUAUGGGGGCUGACGCCUGCCCAGUGCCAGAAGGUUAAAGAAGUUGGUUAGCAAUUGCGAAGCUGAUAACUGAAGCCCUGGUGAACGGCGGCCGUAACAAUAACGGUCCUAAGGUAGCGAAAUUCCUUGUCGGGUAAGUUCCGACCCGCACGAAAGGCGUAAUGAUUUGGAUACUGUCUCGGAGAGGGGCUCGGUGAAAUAGACUUGUCUGUGAAGAUGCGGACUACCUGCACCAGGACAGAAAGACCCUAUGAAGCUUUACUGUAACUUGAAAUUGAAAUUGGACUUUAUUCGCGCAGCAUAGGUGGGAGGCGUUGAUUAUAAUCUUGCGGGAUUAUUGGAGCCAUCAGUGAGAUACCACUCUUGUAAUGUUAGAUUUCUAACUUUGAAUCAUUAUCUGGUCAAAGAACAGUUUCAGGCGGGCAGUUUGACUGGGGCGGUCGCCUCCUAAAUGGUAACGGAGGCGUACAAAGGUUUCCUCUGAACGGUUAGAAAUCGUAUCUAGAGUGUAAAGGCAUAAGGAAGCUUGACUGUGAGACCUACAAGUCGAGCAGGGACGAAAGUCGGUCUUAGUGAUCUGACGGUACUGAGUGGAAAGGCCGUCACUCAACGGAUAAAAGUUACUCUAGGAUAACAGGCUGAUCUCCCCCAAGAGUUCACAUCGACGGGGAGGUUUGGCACCUCGAUGUCGGCUCAUCGCAUCCUGGGGCGGUAGUACGUCCCAAGGGUUGGGCUGUUCGCCCAUGAAAGCGGUACGCGAGCUGGGUUCAGAACGUCGUGAGACAGUUCGGUCCAUAUCCGGUGUAGGCGUUAGAAUAUUGAGAGGAGCCUUCUUUAGUACGAGAGGACCGAGAAGGACAUACCUCUGGUGUACCAGUUAUCGUGCCAACGGUAAACGCUGGGUAGCUAUGUAUGGAGUGGAUAACCGCUGAAAGCAUCUAAGUGGGAAGCCCACCUCAAGAUAAG